rnacentral:lncRNA from 11 species
AUGGAGCGGGCCUGGGGGCCAUUCGGUCCAGGGCAGAGGGCUCUGCGACAAGGGAUUACAGAGGGGAAUUGUGGAGCUGUGGGAGCCUCGCUUCUCUGGACAGUACUACUUCCGCUGCUGCAGCCGAAGCCAGUGCCAGCCACUUGGAGACCAGGACCCCAGCAGUCACCCCCCAGCACUGCCUCCCCGGUGGUCCCUGAAGCCCAAGCCCAUGAAGACUCCACAGAUGAGGAGGACAUGGAGCAGGAGUCGGCUGCCCUGGCCGGGCGGCAGCAAGUCCCCUGGGCCGGCUUCGAGAAGGUCUUCACCUUUGUGCGGCAGAAGGGGAAAAACCUGGUGGUGCAAUGCAAUUGCUGCCUUCCGGCCAUCAAGCACUUGAGCUCAGCCAUCAACUCCUCGUCCAACCUGAGGAAGCAUUUGGAGGUGAGCGCCAGUUGUCAUGCUGGUCCUUGGAAAGUUAUUUUUAAUAUUUGCAGCUUUUCCAUUUUCAUGGUGGCCCUGCCAAUAGUGUGAAAGCUGACUAUAAUACAUGUUUCAAUAAGCUGUCAGAAUGAACUGUUGUGAAUAAUAAUAAUAAUAAUAAUAAUACCUGCAAAAGUAUUGGAAAAUGAGCACACAAAGAUACUGUGGGACUUCCGAAUCCAGACUGACAAAGUUCUGGAACACAACACACCAGACAUCACAGUUGUGGAAAAGAAAAAGGUUUGGAUCAUUGAUGUUGCCAUCCCAGGGGACAGUCGCAUUGACGAAAAACAACAGGAAAAACUCAGCCGCUAUCAGGACCUCAAGAUUGAACUUCAAAGACUCUGGCAGAAACCAGUGCAGGUGGUCCCGGUGGUGAUGGGCACACUGGGUGGCGUGCCAAAAGAUCUCAGCCGGCAUUUGGAAACAAUAGGCAUUGACAAAAUUACGAUCUGCCAACUGCAAAAGGCCACCCUACUGGGAUCUGCACACAUCAUCCGAAAAUACAUCACACAGUCCUAGACACUUGGGAAGUGUUCGACUUGUGAUUUUGUGAUACGAAAUCCAGCAUAUCUAUCUUGUUUGCUGUGUCAUAAUAAAAUAAUAAUAAUAAUACACUAUAUUUAUAUUCCGCCCUUGUCCCCUACGGGACUCAGAGCAGAUUACAGCAUUUACAUACAUAGGCAAACAUUCAAUACCUUUACAGUCAUAUACAAUGAGACACAAAGGCAGAGGCUUUUUUUUUCAUUUCUGGCUUCUUGAGGCAGUGCUCAUUUCUAGCUCUGGAAGAUGCUUUUUCUCUCCAUUUUCAAGCCAAGGAGCCUGCGUUGUUGCCUGCUGGUUGUGUGGCCGGCAAGAUUGCUUGGAGCAUGUCUUGCCUUUUCCCGCUGAAGCAGUACCUAUUUAUCUACUCAUAUUUUGCAUGUUUUUGAACUGCUAGGUUGGGAGGAGCUAUGGCUAACAGCAGGAGCUCACCCCAUCCCACGGAUUUGAACUGCCAACCUUCAGGUCAGCAAUUCAGCAGCACAAGGGUUUAAUCCAUUGCACCACCGUGGCCCUUAAUGGAAACGUCCCAGUCAUUUGACACACAAGAAGCUCCUUUUGUAAGACCUUUGAGAAUGGGAUCUGCCAGGACAAUCCCACAUAAGAUCCCAACCAUAGUCUGCCGUCAUGUGUUUAGCCCAUUUUCUCUGGAAAGCGAUCUAAGUGGCUGCAGAUAAUGGACUUUUAACACUCAUAUUACAGCUAAGCCUAUUGAAAUGAAUGAAUUGCUUGGGUGUGUGUGUGUGUGUGUGUGUGUAUGUAUGCAAGAUUCCUC